UUCAUUAUUAUUGUUAUACAAAGGAACUAAAUUUUGUUGAAUUUGUAAUAAAAGAAUUAAAAAUUUUAAAAAUUUUAUGUUAAAAACCGUCCGCCAUUGUUUGUGGCGUCCUGACGCUAGAUUUGACUUGAAAAUGCCGUUCCCUGAAGAAAAUAACAAUAGACUUGUUUCGUAUAGUUUGAUCUAUGGAGUGAUCAGUGAUAAUGUUGAGAAAUCAAGGUAUAUAAUAAUAAAGUUUAAAGGUUAUAAUAUGAGAGGCAGUUUUUGUAAAUGGAAAAAGAGAAAACAAGAACUUGAAAGUGUCGUCUAAACAAAAUUAAUAGGAAAUGAGAACCCAAAAAAUCAUGAUUUCUAGCUUAUUGACCAACAUUCCAAUUGAAAGUGUAUCUACAGUUGACGAUCUCAAUAGCAAUAAGGUUGGUGUUGAACAGGAAGAAUGUCUAGCAGCUAACACCUCACACUUAACAGGGAAAAGGCUGGAUUUGUCUGAUAGAACAAUGAAAACCAAACUUAAAAGGAGUUAGAAAAAUUGAAGAAGAAGAAAUUAAAAAAGAAAAAUAACAAGAAGUGGUCCUGAAUUGCCCAACUUGCACAAGCCACCGAGGCAGCAUCAGUGUCAUCAACCUCUGAUCCCACAGAGUUUGUCAAAACAGGUAUUCCUGAACCAAGACCAACAAGUACACCGCUAACACCAAUUUUCAACAGCGAAGGCUGCCUAGUAUUCAGCAAAUUUGAUUUAGGAGAACUAUCUAAUCCCUCACCCAUUCUGAACAAGAACACUUUAGAUUGAAAAGUAGCAACGAUAAAAAAAAACUCAAAGCCAAAGUGAAAAUCUUGGAUGGCCAAGCUGAAGUUGGAAUGUGAGAAGUAUUGAAGAGAAACAGGCAUGAAAAGAUGCUUUGCAAACAGCUGAAGGUUUUCAGGUAAAAAACAAUGUGGAAUGGCUUGCUAAAUCUAUUAUGAAACAAGAUGAAAUCAAAUCAGAUAGUAAAAAGAAGUUGGCUGAACGCAUCGAAGAAUAGGAAAAGAGAAAGGAAUAACAACAGAAAACGAGAAAAGCCAACAUUAAGAAAAAGAAAACUGAGAAGAAAGAACAUAAACUGAAUGAACGCCUCACACUUAACAGGGGAAAAGCUGGAAUUGUCUGAUAAGACAACGAAAAUCCAAUUUAAACGGAAGUUAGAGGGAAUGAAGAAGAAAUUAAAAAGAAAAAGUAAGAAGAAGAGGUCCUGAAUUGCCAAACAUGCUCGAGCCACCAAGGCAGUAUCUGUGUCAUCAACCUCUGGUCUUUCAGAGUUUGUUAAAACAGAAAUUCCUCAACCAAGACUAGCAAGUACACUGGCAACACCAAUUUUUAACAGUGAAGGCUGCCUAGUUUCCAGCAAAUGUGAUUUUGGAGAACUAUCUAAUUCCUCACCCAUUCUGAAAAAGACCACUUUAUAUCCAGAAGUGGCAACGAUUAAAAUGAAAGAAAAUAAAACUUAAACCAAAAAUGAAUAUCUUGGUAGGCCAAGCUGAAGCUGAGAAUGCAAGAAGCAUUGAAGAAAAACAGGCAUGAAAUGGUGCUCUGCAAAUAGCUGAAGGUUUUCAGGUAAAAGACUAUGUGGAAUUGCUUGCCAAAUCAAUUAAUGAACGAGAUCAAAUCAGAAAGUAACAUAAAUUGCGCUGAACGAAUCGAAGAAAAGGAAAAGAGAAAGGAAUAACAACAGAAAAAGAGAAAAGCCAACAUUAAGAAAAAUAAAACUGAAAAGAAAGAACAUAAAGUGAAUAAACUAAAGAAAAAAGGCAAAUUUACCGUAUGAAAGACUGAUACUGACUCAUGGAUGAGCUAAACUCUUGUUCUUUCAUGUGCAGCCAUGUCGUGAUAGUUUUAUAGAAAAAUACACUGGCAUGCCUUCCAUGAUCGUGGAAAAUUUGAAGAAAAAAUAUCUUAGAUUCAUUUAAAAAGGUUUAGUGUCUUCACUAAUAACAGACUCAUUUAAAAAAAAAGUCCGUCAUGGUAGAAAAUUGAUUUGUCAUUAUUAGUAGCUUUGUUAACGUAAAGUGUAAAGCUUCCUUAUAUCUCAAUGUAUUAUGUGAUGUGUAAUUAGGUAAUCAAUAGCUGCUUGAAAAUGUGCAAAAGGUGAAAACAGGACACGAAGAAC